GAUGAACGCUGGCGGCGUGCUUAACACAUGCAAGUCGAACGAUGACCCCGUGCUUGCGCGGGUGAUUAGUGGCGAACGGGUGAGUAACACGUGAGUAAACUGCCCCCGACUUUGGGAUAAGCCCGGUAAACUGGGUCUAAUACCGGAUAUGACUUCUUACCGCAUGGUGGGUUGUUGAGAGAUUUAUCGGUGGGGGAUGGACUCGCGGCCUAUCAGCUUGUUGGUGAGGUAAUGGCUCACCAAGGCGACGACGGGUAGCCGGCCUGAGAGGGUGACCGGCCACACUGGGACUGAGACACGGCCCAGACUCCUACGGGAGGCAGCAGUGGGGAAUAUUGCACAAUGGGCGAAAGCCUGAUGCAGCGACGCCGCGUGAGGGAUGACGGCCUUCGGGUUGUAAACCUCUUUCAGUAGGGAAGAAGCGAAAGUGACGGUACCUGCAGAAGAAGCGCCGGCUAACUACGUG
rnacentral:rRNA from 1 species